UAGAGUUUUGAUCAUGGCUCAGGACGAACGCUGGCGGCGUGCUUAACACAUGCAAGUCGAACGGAAAGGCCCUUCGGGGUACUCGAGUGGCGAACGGGUGAGUAACACGUGGGUGAUCUGCCCUGCACUUUGGGAUAAGCCUGGGAAACUGGGUCUAAUACCGAAUAGGACCACGCGCUUCAUGGUGUGUGGUGGAAAGCUUUUGCGGUGUGGGAUGGGCCCGCGGCCUAUCAGCUUGUUGGUGGGGUAAUGGCCUACCAAGGCGACGACGGGUAGCCGGCCUGAGAGGGUGACCGGCCACACUGGGACUGAGAUACGGCCCAGACUCCUACGGGAGGCAGCAGUGGGGAAUAUUGCACAAUGGGCGCAAGCCUGAUGCAGCGACGCCGCGUGAGGGAUGACGGCCUUCGGGUUGUAAACCUCUUUCACCAGGGACGAAGCGUAAGUGACGGUACCUGGAGAAGAAGCACCGGCCAACUACGUGCCAGCAGCCGCGGUAAUACGUAGGGUGCGAGCGUUGUCCGGAAUUACUGGGCGUAAAGAGCUCGUAGGUGGUUUGUCGCGUUGUUCGUGAAAACUCACAGCUUAACUGUGGGCGUGCGGGCGAUACGGGCAGACUAGAGUACUGCAGGGGAGACUGGAAUUCCUGGUGUAGCGGUGGAAUGCGCAGAUAUCAGGAGGAACACCGGUGGCGAAGGCGGGUCUCUGGGCAGUAACUGACGCUGAGGAGCGAAAGCGUGGGGAGCGAACAGGAUUAGAUACCCUGGUAGUCCACGCCGUAAACGGUGGGUACUAGGUGUGGGUUCCUUCCUUGGGAUCCGUGCCGUACGCGUAACGGCA
rnacentral:rRNA from 1 species